rnacentral:rRNA from 1 species
UACGUAGGGGGCGAGCGUUGUCCGGAUUUAUUGGGCGUAAAGAGCGUGUAGGCGGCCAGGUAGGUCCGUUGUGAAAACUCGAGGCUCAACCUCGAGACGUCGAUGGAAACCAUCUGGCUAGAGUCCGGAAGAGGAGAGUGGAAUUCCCGGUGUAGCGGUGAAAUGCGCAGAUAUCGGGAGGAACACCAAUGGCGAAGGCAGCACUCUGGGACGUGACUGACGCUGAGACGCGAAAGCGUGGGGAGCAAACAGG